UGCCUUAUGACGCUUCUGUGGAACCGCAGGUGGAGGCCCACUCAAGCCCCAUGGCUUUCAGCCAUGGGACUACAUACAAACACACACUCUCUCUCACUCACACAGAGGCUAUGGAAAACAAUUGAAUGCUGACACCCACUAUGCCAGCUACCCAACGCUGAUACCCACUAUGCCAGCUACCAGAAGGCUGGCACCCACUAUGCCAGCCACCAGAAGCCUGAAGCGACGUCUCGGUGAGGCUUGCCAGGGUUAUCACUUGUUGAAGAAGGGGACAUGCCUGUGAGCUGGCAAUCUGGGCAUUACAAGAUAAUUAUUUAGCUAGUCUUUGGGUCUCCAGCCUGCCCACCCUGCAGAUUUUGGACAUGACACCUCCACAAUCAUUUGGAACAGGUUUGCUGCCUCAUUACUGAAGAGUAGAGAUAGGACAUAGGUCUCUAGAUACAGUGUCGGUGGCCAUAUUCCCAUGAUGUGUAUAAAGAACAUGUACCACAAAAAUCUACAACAGUUAUACUAAUUGAGAAGACCUUGACAACUUUAUCCUGGAAUCAGAUUUAUGCAUAAAUUAUUCUACCUCCAACAGAUGUUUUAAGAAAAUUGUCAGAAGGAAAUAACAUCACCAAUAUGGAAGAAACUUUCCAGUGGUCAUCCCCUACAGAAACAUCAAUGUACACAACUGUCUGUUUAUAAAAAUAGCUUCACAUGUACUAAGGAAUUGAAGUGAGAGGAUUACAGUAGCUGGAUGUUUAUCUGAAAUAAGAAAACCAUAGUGAAGGUAGGAAGAACAGUUUUACAUUAUUCAGAUCACUCCUCUCCCCAAACUAGGCAGCUCAGUGAUAAGAGAGAUACUCUCUACAUAGGGAAGAAGAGAGCAUUAAAAGGAUCACACAACAUAAUAAAGCAUGAUUUAUUCUUAAGUUGCACAGAUGCUUUAAUAUGUAAAUAAAUGUGAUACAACACAUUAACAUAAUAAAAGAUAAAGACUAAAUGAUCAUCUCAAUAAAUGCAGAAAAAUUUGACAUAAUUUGACAUAUAUCCAUGAUAAAAUUUCUUAACAAAUUAGGCAUAGAAUGUAUUUCAACAUAAUAAAGACUGUUUGUGACAAGCUGCAGCUAACAUUACAAUUACCAGUAAAAAGCUGAAGCUUUCCUCCAAGAUAAGAAAUAAGACAAGAAUGCUCACCCUCACCACUUCUGUUCAAUAUAGUUCUGGAGGUCCUAUUGAGAGAAAUUAGAAAAAAUAUAUAUUUUUAAACAUACAGAUUGGAAACAAAGAAGUAAAAUUGUUUCUAUUCCUGAUGACAUGAUCUCAUAUGGAGAAAACUCUGAAAUCUCCACCCGAAAAUGCUUAGAAUUAGUUUUAAAAACUCAAUAAAGUGGAAGGAUACAAAAUCAGCAAACAAAACAUAGUAGAAUUUCUGUACACUUAUAAUGGACUAUCCAAAAAUUAAAUCAAGACAACAAUCCCACUAUAAUAUCAUAAAAAAUUAAAUACUUAGGAAUAAUUCUAUCCAAGCAGGAGGAAGAGCUGUACACUGAUUACUAUAAAACAUUAAUGAAAGGAAUUAAAAAUGAUACAAGUAUAUGAAAAUAUAUCUCUUGUUCAUAGAUUGAAAGAAUUAAUGUUACCAUAAUGUCCAUAUUACCCAAUGCAGUCUACAGAUACAAUGUAAUUUCUAUAAAAAUUCCAGGAGUUUUUCAGAGAAAUAGAGAAAAUCAUCUUAAAAUUUAUAUAAAACUACACAAGACAUAAAAUAGCCAAGACAAUCUCAAGCAAAGAGAACAAAACUGAAGAUAUACUACCUGAUUUCAAAAUAUAUAGUUGUCAAAAUAUUAUCACCCUGGCAUAGUAAUCAAAACAAAACUAUAGUAAUCAAAGCAUCAUAGUACUGGCAUAAAAACAACAUAUAUUCCAAUGGAACAGAAUAAGGAUCCCAGAAAUAAAUCCACACAGUUAAGGUCAAUUAGUCUUUUAGAAACAUGUCAAUAACACAUAAUGGGGAAAGGAUAGUGUCUUCAAAAAAUGGAUCUAGGGGCCGGGCGCGGUGGCUCAAGCCUGUAAUCCCAGCACUUUGGGAGGCCGAGACGGGUGGAUCACGAGGUCAAGAGAUCGAGACCAUCCUGGUCAACAUGGUGAAACCCCGUCUCUACUAAAGAUACAAAAAAUUAGCUGGGCAUGGUGGCGCGUGCCUGUAAUCCCAGCUACUCAGGAGGCUGAGGCAGGAGAAUUGCCUGAACCCAGGAGGCGGAGGUUGUGGUGAGCCGAGAUCGCGCCAUUGCACUCCAGCCUGGGUAACAAGAGCGGAACUCUGUCUCAAAAAAUAAAAAAAAUGGAUCUAGGAAAUCUUGAUAUCCACAUGCAG